rnacentral:rRNA from 1 species
AUACGUAGGUGGCGAGCGUUGUCCGGAAUUACUGGGCGUAAAGGAUGCGUAGGUGGAUAUUUAAGUGGGAUGUGAAAUCCCCGGGCUCAACCCGGGAACUGCAUUCCAAACUGGGUAUCUAGAGUGCAGGAGAGGAAAGCGGAAUUCCUAGUGUAGCGGUGAAAUGCGUAGAUAUUAGGAGGAACACCAGUGGCGAAGGCGGCUUUCUGUACUGUACCUGCCACUGAGGCAUGAAAGCGUGGGUAGCAAACAGGAUUAGAUACCCUGGUAGUCCACGCCGUAAACGAUGGGUACUAGGUGUAGGAGGUAUCGACCCCUUCUGUGCCGUCGUUAACACAAUAAGUACCCCGCCUGGGGAGUACGGUCGCAAGACUAAAACUCAAAGGAAUUGACGGGG